rnacentral:rRNA from 1 species
GCGCGAAACUCUACAAUGCAGGCAACUGCGAUAGGGGAACAUCGAGUGAUACUCAUCUUGGGUGUCUGUCCUCCCGUCUAAAAAACGGGAGUUAGCAAGGGCCGGGCAAGACCGGUGCCAGCCGCCGCGGUAAUACCGGCGGCUCGAGUGGUGGCCGAUAUUAUUGAGUCUAAAGGGUCCGUAGCCGGCUUUGCAAGUCUUUUGGGAAAUCCAGCGGCUUAACCGUUGGUCGUCCGGGAGAUACUACAUUGCUUGGGACUGGGAGAGGUAGGAGGUACUCAGGGGGUAGGAGUGAAAUCCUGUAAUCCUUUGGGGACCACCGGUGGCGAAGGCGUCCUACCAGAACAGGUCCGACGGUGAGGGACGAAAGCUAGGGGCACGAACCGGAUUAGAUACCCGGGUAGUCCUAGCCGUAAACGAUGCUCGCUAGGUGUCACAACAAUCGUGAAUUGUUGUGGUGCCGUAGGGAAGCCGUGAAGCGAGCCACUUGGGAAGUACGACCGCAAGGUUGAAACUUAAAGGAAUUGGCGGGGGAGCAC